rnacentral:rRNA from 1 species
CCUGAGAAACCUAAAAGUUCGAAAAGAGAGAUUCAUCGCCAGCAUGUGCAAUAUUCACGUGGGUAGUGAUACAUGUACAUUUCCAUGUUAUUUUAUUGUUGUACUAUUGUCGGCGUGCACUUCUCUCURAGUAGGACGUCCCGACCCGUUGGGUCUUGGCCUACGACCUGGACUUUAGUAAUUCACUUUAUUAAAGACCUCUGGUAUUAAAGACCUCUGGUGUUCUGGCUGAGUGCUCGACGGGGUAUUAAGCCGCAUUUAAUUAUGCGUCUAUGCGUCUGGCCUUUCGCAAGUUUUUGACAGUCCGUAUGACAUAGACUUUGUGCUAUGUGUAUGGAUUGUGCUCUUAGACUGUGCUUAUAUACCUGUCAGGGACGCUUAGGCUUUGGGUACUCUCAGGACCCGUCUUGAAACACGGACCAAGGAGUCUAACAUGUAUGCGAGUCAUUGGGUAUAUAUUUUCUAAACCUAAAGGCGAAAUGAAAGUAAAGGUUGAA